AUUGAACGCUGGCGGCAUGCCUUACACAUGCAAGUCGAACGGCAGCACGGGUUCUUGCACCUGGUGGCGAGUGGCGAACGGGUGAGUAAUACAUCGGAACAUGUCCUGUAGUGGGGGAUAGCCCGGCGAAAGCCGGAUUAAUACCGCAUACGAUCUACGGAUGAAAGCGGGGGACCUUCGGGCCUCGCGCUAUAGGGUUGGCCGAUGGCUGAUUAGCUAGUUGGUGGGGUAAAGGCCUACCAAGGCGACGAUCAGUAGCUGGUCUGAGAGGACGACCAGCCACACUGGGACUGAGACACGGCCCAGACUCCUACGGGAGGCAGCAGUGGGGAAUUUUGGACAAUGGGCGAAAGCCUGAUCCAGCCAUGCCGCGUGUGUGAAGAAGGCCUUCGGGUUGUAAAGCACUUUUGUCCGGAAAGAAAUCCUUGGCUCUAAUACAGUCGGGGGAUGACGGUACCGGAAGAAUAAGCACCGGCUAACUACGUG
rnacentral:rRNA from 1 species